rnacentral:rRNA from 1 species
GACGAACGCUGGCGGCUUGCCUAAUACAUGCAAGUAGGACGCAGUUGCGAACGGGUGAGUAACGCGUAGGUAACUGCCUCUUAGAGGGGGAUAACUAUUGGAAACGAUAGCUAAUACCGCAUACUAGUAGAUGGACCUGCGUUGUAUUAGCUAGUAGGUAGGGUACUUGCCUACCUAGGCGACGAUACAUCGCCGACCUGAGAGGGUGAUCGGCCACACUGGGACUGAGACACGGCCAAGACUCCUACGGGAGGCAGAAGUAGGGAAGCGUCGGCAAUGGGGGGAACCCUGACCGAGCAACGCCGCGUGAGUGAAGAAGGUUUUCGGAUCGUAAAGCUCUGUUGUUAAGGAAGCGGUACUUAACCAGAAAGGGACGGCUAACUACGUGCCAGCAGCCGCGGUAAUA